GAGCGAGAAAGGGACUUCGGUCCUGAGUAAAGCGGCGGACGGGUGAAUAUCGCGUAGGUAACCUGCCCUUCAGCGGGGGAUAACGGUCCGAAAGGACCGCUAAUACCGCGUACGUACCUUGGGGCUCCGGCCCUGGGGUGGAAAGCUAGGUAGCAAUAUCUGGCACUGAGGGAGGGGCCUGCGUCGCAUCAGCUAGUUGGUGGGGUAACGGCCUACCAAGGCGAAGACGCGUAGCUGGUCUGAGAGGAUGAUCAGCCACACUGGGACUGAGACACGGCCCAGACUCCUACGGGAGGCAGCAGUGGGGAAUAUUGGACAAUGGGCGCAAGCCUGAUCCAGCCACGCCGCGUGAGUGAUGAAGGCCUUCGGGUCGUAAAGCUCUGUGGGGAGGGACGAACCGCCGCUGGUUAAUACNCCAGCGGCAUGACGGUACCUCCUUAGCAAGCACCGGCUAACUUCGUG
rnacentral:rRNA from 1 species